CAGAGAUGUUCGGGGACUUGAGCAAGUUUCCUGCAGGGGAAGAAGUGCAAACUUCCAUCUGCCUGGACAUCCUUAGAGAAAGAGUGUUACCAGACCCUCA